GACGAACGCUGGCGGCGUGCUUAACACAUGCAAGUCGAACAGAAAGGCCCUGCUUGCAGGGUACUCGAGUGGCGAACGGGUGAGUAACACGUGGGUGAUCUGCCCUGCACUUCGGGAUAAGCUUGGGAAACUGGGUCUAAUACCGGAUAGGAGCCAUCUUUAGUGUGGUGGUUGGAAAGUUUUUUCGGUGUAGGAUGAGCUCGCGGCCUAUCAGCUUGUUGGUGGGGUAAUGGCCUACCAAGGCGGCGACGGGUAGCCGGCCUGAGAGGGUGUACGGCCACAUUGGGACUGAGAUACGGCCCAGACUCCUACGGGAGGCAGCAGUGGGGAAUAUUGCACAAUGGGCGCAAGCCUGAUGCAGCGACGCCGCGUGGGGGAUGAAGGCCUUCGGGUUGUAAACUCCUUUCGCUAGGGACGAAGCUUUGUUGUGACGGUACCUAGAUAAGAAGCACCGGCUAACUACGUG
rnacentral:rRNA from 1 species